AGUAGACUUAAGAAAAGUUUUUUAAGAAUUAGUUUCAUGUCAUUUGGAUUAAUAUUGAGGUUUUAAGAGAUUUUUAAAGUAAAAUGAUGUACUUGAUGGAUUGAGAUUUUAAGAAAUAAAAUAGAUUUACAAGUUUGAGAUUUUUGUGAGUUUUUUGGCAUAUUUAUAAAUAAAAAUUCGUUAGUUUGUCAUUGUAAUUAUUAUUAAUGUAUGUAAGAAAGUUGAGGUCAAUUGAAUCAUUAGAUUAAAGAGUAUGAGAGU
rnacentral:lncRNA from 1 species